UGAACCUUGCCCCUGCAGCCCAGCAACUCCUUGUGUUCCGUGGCGGUUCCAUCACUGUUCCUGACGCCCUGUUAUCCAUCCUGUCACCCUGAAGACCGACUGCCAAGGAGUCUCUCCAAAUCUUGCUAAGAGUGCUUUUCCAUGGUGGUAACAAAUGCAAGUCUUCCACACGGUGUGAACUCUGGUUCUCUAACCUCCUUCUGCUGUCAUCGCUGCCUUCUGAGGCCAUGGCCCGUGGGAGGGGCGUGGAAGGAAGGAGCUGCUCACACCUUGGGAGUGGGAGACUGGGGUGCUGUGAACUGAACACAGGACCAGAAGCGAACUUGUGUCCAACGUGAGAUUCACCCCCAGAUGUUCAUGUUCUUGCCAUUCCAUGGGUCAGCAUUUCCCGUCAUUUCUGUAAGCCUGUCGUGGGGUCAGCAGGAGCAGUGGCCUUUCUGGAAGCAGUCCCGACAUGGCAAGGACGCCCCCGCCCCAUCCCAGGGCACUGGCAGAGCACUCGAUCUCAGAGCCUGGUGAGGUGUGGGUGUGCAAUGAGGAGAGGACGGCACGGCGAUGGUGGAGGAACAGCCCUGCACGGCAGUCACGGCACCGUCCUUUACUGGGUCAUGCCAGCGUGUUUCCGCGUUGAACAGCCUCACACGGAGCUUGUCGGAGGCAGAACACCGUGAAAGUCCCGCUGCUGCUGCCAGCCGUCGGCACGACCGCUGUCCUCUGCUUUCAAGCACUUUGCACCAUGAGCACAUUGGGAGGCCUUGCUGUGUGUGCUUCAGAGGGAGACUUGAAUAAUGAAAAAAUCAGAGAAAAAUUGGAAAAGGACAGGGGCUAAAAGGCUACAAGGACUUGGAGCACUUCUCAUUCCUAAAAUAAGAACAAGCCUUUCCCAGUGUUAGAGUGGCUAGGUGCGCGGGAACGUUUGUUUCGGCACUCACCUUCCAAGGACGGAAGACGGAAAGGCGCCAUGAAGUUGGUAGACAGUGGCUAGACAGUUGGUAGACAGUGGCAGGUGUUUUUGGAAUGGAAAUAGGAGCUAUAAGGAAUCAUGAUUGUGGCUGAGAGGGAGAAGAUUCUAGAGCCAUGCAGAUGAUACUGAAUUCCUGUGUUUUGUUUUGUUUUUUGAAGCAGCGUCUCACCGUGUUGCCCAGGCUGGCUUUAAGUUGUGAUUCUCCCGCCCGUCCCCCUGAGGGCUAGAAUUACAGGUGUGUGCCAUCGUGUCUGGCUACAGAUCUAGUUUCUAUCUCACUGAUCUGUUUUGACUUAGAUUAGAUUAUUUAAAAUACUUUAUUCACUGAUAUUUUUGAAACAGGAUAAUCAUUGCUGUCAUAUUAAAUCUGAUGAUUGAAGGAGAUAAUGAAUUGGGCUGGCACAAAGCUUUGCCUAAUACAGAGAAGCUCUUAAUAUGCCGCUGAGGAUCAUGAGUGUUAUUAGGUGAACACAAACUCGUUAGACACUAGGCUAAGUUUGGAGUGUAAAAAGUAUCUGACAUACUAGGCCUGGAGGGUGUGCAGAGAGGAAUCACACCUGUGUUCUUCCUCAGGUGUUCUGGGAGACACAGGAAUGUGGGGCCUGAGGCUCAGCAGCCAUUUUGUUGCCAUGAGUAAAAACAAGCCUGGGAUUUCCAGGCAUACUCACGAGGAGCGGGAAAGCAAGGGAAAUGCAGCAUGAGAAAAAGCAAGAGACAAAGCAGGGUAGUCGGGAUUACAUCCUCUGCGCCUGCGGUCCGCCGUGCCUACCUUUGUGAAUUCUAGUUCUGGAGCCAGUUAACUGUGCGCCAGCCCUGGAGUUCCCGGCAGCUGGCAGCAGAGUCUGAAGUGCCAAGUGCUAGCCCUGCCUUUCAGGCUUUUGAUCUAGCCUCCUGAGCUGUGCGGCGGGUCACCAGCGGGAGGCGGAGCGGAGGGAGGGCCCAGAGCGCCUCUCCUGACUCCAGACACGG